rnacentral:rRNA from 1 species
UACGGAGGAUGCGAGCGUUAUCCGGAUUUAUUGGGUUUAAAGGGUGCGUAGGCGGUCCGUUAAGUCAGCGGUAAAAUUGCGGGGCUCAACCCCGGCGAGCCGUUGAAACUGGCUGUCUUGAGAUGUCGAGAGGUAUGCGGAAUGCGUGGUGUAGCGGUGAAAUGCAUAGAUAUCACGCAGAACCCCGAUUGCGAAGGCAGCAUACCGGCGCCCUACUGACGCUGAGGCACGAAAGUGCGGGUAUCGAACAGG